CCUACGGGUGGCAGCAGUAGGGAAUCUUCCACAAUGGGCGAAAGCCUGAUGGAGCAACGCCGCGUGGGCGAAGAAGGUCUUCGGAUCGUAAAACCCUGUUGUUAGAGAAGAAAGUGCGUGAGAGUAACUGUUCACGUUUCGACGGUAUCUAACCAGAAAGCCACGGCUAACUACGUGUCAGCAGCCGCGGUAAUACGUAGGUGGCAAGCGUUAUCCGGAUUUAUUGGGCGUAAAGGGAACGCAGGCGGUCUUUUAAGUCUGAUGUGAAAGCCUUCGGCUUAACCGGAGUAGUGCAUUGGAAACUGGGAGACUUGAGUGCAGAAGAGGAGAGUGGAACUCCAUGUGUAGCGGUGAAAUGCGUAGAUAUAUGGAAGAACACCAGUGGCGAAAGCGGCUCUCUGGGCUGUAACUGACGCUGAGGUUCGAAAGCGUGGGUAGCAAACAGGAUUAGAUACCCCAGUAGUC
rnacentral:rRNA from 1 species